AGUGAACGCUGGCGGUAGGCCUAACACAUGCAAGUCGAACGGCAGCACAGUAAGAGCUUGCUCUUACGGGUGGCGAGUGGCGGACGGGUGAGGAAUACAUCGGAAUCUACUUUUUCGUGGGGGAUAACGUAGGGAGACUUACUCUAAUACCGCAUACGCCCUACGGUUGAAAGCAGGGGAUCUUCGGACCUUGCGCGAUUGAAUGAGCCGAUGUCGGAUUAGCUAGUUGGCGGGGUAAAGGCCCACCAAGGCGACGAUCCGUAGCUGGUCUGAGAGGAUGAUAAGCCACACUGGAGCUGAGACACGGUCCAGACGCCUACGGGAGGCAGCAGUGGGGAAUAUUGGACAAUGGGCGCAAGCCUGAUCCAGCCAUACCGCGUGGGUGAAGAAGGCCUUCGGGUUGUAAAGCCCUUUUGUUGGGAAAGAAAAGCAGCAGGUUAAUACCCAGCUGUUCUGACGGUACCCAAAGAAUAAGCACCGGCUAACUUCGUG
rnacentral:rRNA from 1 species